rnacentral:lncRNA from 1 species
AAAAAUACUAAUAUCAAAUCAGUAGCAUUUUAACAAAAUGAUACACUAAUCAUAUGAUUUAAGACUUUAUUUUAUCUUCACGUAUGUGGAAUUUAGCACUAGUGUUACACAAAUGCUUUAAGGUACACUUGUCUUUCCUUCCGUACAUAUAUAAAUGCAUAUAACUUAUUAUAAAAUCACAUCCAUGCGAAGGAAGCAAAGCAUUUUAAAACAUCUAUGCUUCCUCCCGGUUAUAUCUAUAUACUUAUAAUAUAUGUGUUUUUAACACAUUGAUUAUUGACAUCAUAUAUAUAUAGCAUGUACGUUGGUUGGAAGGCUAUAACCAUAUGGCCUUAGCGUCUUUAAGCAUCUGUUUGAGCGACCCGUCCACGUGGAACGAGA